AACGGGUGAGUAAUGCAUGGGAAUCUGCCUGGUAGUGGGGGACAACGUCUCGAAAGGGACGCUAAUACCGCAUACGCCCUACGGGGGAAAGGGGGGGAUCUUCGGACCUCUCGCUAUCAGAUGAGCCCAUGUCAGAUUAGCUAGUUGGUGAGGUAAAGGCUCACCAAGGCGACGAUCUGUAACUGGUCUGAGAGGAUGAUCAGUCACACUGGAAGGGAGACACGGUCCAGACUCCUACGGGAGGCAGCAGUGGGGAAUAUUGGACAAUGGGCGCAAGC
rnacentral:rRNA from 1 species